UACGAAGGGGGGCUAGCGUUGUUCGGAUUUACUGGGCGUAAAGCGCACGUAGGCGGAUCGUUAAGUCGGGGGGUGAAAUCCUGGAGCUCAACUCCAGAACUGCCUUUGAUACUGAAGAUCUUGAGUUCGGGAGAGGUGAGUGGAACUGCGAGUGUAGAGGUGAAAUUCGUAGAUAUUCGCAAGAACACCAGUGGCGAAGGCGGCUCACUGGCCCGAUACUGACGCUGAGGCACGAAAGCGUGGGGAGCAAACAGG
rnacentral:rRNA from 1 species